UGUUCAUCGACCGCCACAUAACGUUGCUCCACGACGACCACACUUGUCCACGUUGCUCAUUGACCGCCGCAUAACAUUGCUCUAUGUCGGCCACACCUGGUUUAUUUUCAGCCGAUGAGGAUGUUUACUCCUGCAAGGAAGAGACUGAUGAGAGAUUUCAAGAGGUUGCAGCAAGAUCCACCUGUUGGCAUCAGUGGUGCUCCCCAAGACAAUAAUAUCAUGCUAUGGAAUGCUGCUAUAUUUGGGCCAGAUGACACACCUUGGGAUGGAGGUAUUUUCAAGUUCUGGUUCUUAAUGACUUGCUAAUUAUACAACUGUGUUGUGAUUAGAACCAUGUCUUGUAAUGAUGUACUUGUUUCUUGUUUGACGAUUUCACUCUGUUCUCCCAUCCAAAAUUACAAUUAAUAAAUAAUACUACAAUAUAUAUAAUAGUAUCUUAAUUUUGCUCAA